CGAAGUCUGGUGCCAGCAGCCGCGGUAAUUCCAGCUCCAAUAGCGUAUNUUAAAGUUGUUGCAGUUAAAAAGCUCGUAGUUGAAUUUCGGGGUUAGUAGGUUGGUCAUGCCUCCGGUAUGUACUGAUCUCACUGAUUCCUCCUUCCUUAUGAACCGUAAUGCCAUUAAUUUGGUGUUGCGGGAAAUUUGGACUGUUACUUUGAAAAAAUUAGAGUGUUUAAAGCAAGCUAACGCUUGAAUACAUUAGCAUGGAAUAAUGAAAUAGGACGUUCGAUCUUAUUUUGUUGGUUUCUAGGAUUGACGUAAUGAUUAAUAGGGAUAGUUGGGGGCAUUAGUAUUCAAUUGUCAGAGGUGAAAUUCUUGGAUUUAUUGAAGACUAACUACUGUGAAAGCAUUUGCCAAGGAUGUUUUCAUUAAUCAAGAACGAAAGUUAGGGGAUCGAAGACGAUCAGAUACCGUCGUAGUCUUAACCAUAAACUAUGCCGACUAGGGAUCGGAUGAUGUUAAUUUUUUAAUGACUCAUUCGGCGCCUUACG
rnacentral:rRNA from 1 species